ACGCGCAGGCCGUAGACGGCCCGUCCCCGGAUGCGUCCGGGGGCGGUGUCGCCGGCCACACGCCCAUUCUUGUCUAUUUACCCAGUUGCCUCGGCGGGCCGCGCACUCGUGCCGCGCCUCGAGGAGCCGUCCGGGGACAAUCAACUCCCUGGAUCGCGCCCGCCGGAGGAGUGAUUAAAAUCCAUGAAUACUGUUCCGUCUGAGCGUUAGCAAGUAAAAUCAGUUA
rnacentral:misc_RNA from 1 species